rnacentral:rRNA from 1 species
GUGGGGAAUAUUGCACAAUGGGCGCAAGCCUGAUGCAGCAACGCCGCGUGAGGGACGACGGCCUUCGGGUUGUAAACCUCUUUUAGCAGGGAAGAAGCGAAAGUGACGGUACCUGCAGAAAAAGCACCGGCUAACUACGUGCCAGCAGCCGCGGUAAUACGUAGGGUGCAAGCGUUGUCCGGAAUUAUUGGGCGUAAAGAGCUCGUAGGCGGUUUGUCGCGUCUGCUGUGAAAACCCGAGGCUCAACCUCGGGCCUGCAGUGGGUACGGGCAGACUAGAGUGCGGUAGGGGAGAUUGGAAUUCCUGGUGUAGCGGUGGAAUGCGCAGAUAUCAGGAGGAACACCGAUGGCGAAGGCAGAUCUCUGGGCCGUAACUGACGCUGAGGAGCGAAAGCGUGGGGAGCGAACAGGAUUAGAAACCCUGGUAGUCC